rnacentral:rRNA from 1 species
AUUGAACGCUGGCGGCAUGCCUUACACAUGCAAGUCGAACGGCAGCGCGGGAGCAAUCCUGGCGGCGAGUGGCGAACGGGUGAGUAAUAUAUCGGAACGUGCCCAGUAGUGGGGGAUAGCCCGGCGAAAGCCGGAUUAAUACCGCAUACGACCUACGGGUGAAAGGGGGGGAUCGCAAGACCUCUCGCUAUUGGAGCGGCCGAUAUCAGAUUAGGUAGUUGGUGGGGUAAAGGCAUACCAAGCCUGCGAUCUGUAGUUGGUCUGUGAGGACGACCAGCCACACUGGGACUGAGACACGGCCCAGAUUCCUACGGGGGGCAGCAGGGGGUAAUGUUGGACAAUGGGAGAAAGCCUGAUCCAGCAAUGCCGCGUGGAGGAAGAAGGCCUUCGGGUUGUAAACUGCUUUUGUCAGGGAAGAACACCUCUAGGCUAAUACCUUGGGGGGAUGACGGUACCUGAAGAAUAAGCACCGGCUAACUACGUGCCAGCCGCCGCGGUAAGAC